UCCGCGGUGGCGCAAAGGUAGCGCGGGUGGCUGUUAACCACUAGGUUGUAGGUUCGAGUCCUGCCCGCGGAG
rnacentral:tRNA from 1 species